rnacentral:rRNA from 1 species
UACGUAGGGUGCAAGCGUUAAUCGGAAUUACUGGGCGUAAAGCGUGCGCAGGCGGUUAUGCAAGACAGAUGUGAAAUCCCCGGGCUCAACCUGGGAACUGCAUUUGUGACUGCAUGGCUAGAGUACGGUAGAGGGGGAUGGAAUUCCGCGUGUAGCAGUGAAAUGCGUAGAUAUGCGGAGGAACACCGAUGGCGAAGGCAAUCCCCUGGACCUGUACUGACGCUCAUGCACGUAAGCGUGGGGAGCAAACAGG